UACAGAGGUCUCAAGCGUUGUUCGGAAUCACUGGGCGUAAAGGGUGCGUAGGCGGUGCGGAAAGUCAGAUGUGAAAUCCGGAGGCUUAACCUCCGAAUUGCAUCCGAUACUACCGCGCUAGAGAACUGAAGGGGAGUCUGGAAUUCUCGGUGUAGCAGUGAAAUGCGUAGAUAUCGAGAGGAACACUAGUGGCGAAGGCGAGACUCUGGGCAGUAUCUGACGCUGAGGCACGAAGGCCAGGGGAGCAAACGGG
rnacentral:rRNA from 1 species